AUUGAACGCUGGCGGAAUGCUUUACACAUGCAAGUCGAACGGCAGCACGGGGCAACCUGGUGGCGAGUGGCGAACGGGUGAGUAAUACAUCGGAACGUGCCCAGUCGUGGGGGAUAACGUAGCGAAAGUUACGCUAAUACCGCAUACGAUCCAAGGAUGAAAGCGGGGGAUCGCAAGACCUCGCGCGAUUGGAGCGGCCGAUGUCAGAUUAGGUAGUUGGUGGGGUAAAGGCUCACCAAGCCGACGAUCUGUAGCUGGUCUGAGAGGACGACCGGCCACACUGGAACGGAGACACGGUCCAGACUCCUACGGGAGGCAGCAGUGGGGAAUUUUGGACAAUGGGCGAAAGCCUGAUCCAGCCAUUCCGCGUGCAGGAUGAAGGCCUUCGGGUUGUAAACUGCUUUUGUACGGAACGAAACGGUGAGCUCUAAUACAGUUUGCUAAUGGCGGUACCGUAAGAAUAAGCACCGGCUAACUACGUGCCAGCCGCCGCAGUAACAC
rnacentral:rRNA from 1 species